rnacentral:rRNA from 1 species
GACGAACGCUGGCGGCGUGCUUAACACAUGCAAGUCGAACGGUAAGGCCCUUCGGGGUACACGAGUGGCGAACGGGUGAGUAACACGUGGGUGAUCUGCCCUGCACUUCGGGAUAAGCCUGGGAAACUGGGUCUAAUACCGGAUAGGACCACUGCCUGCAUGGGUGGGGGUGGAAAGCUUUUGCGGUGUGGGAUGGGCCCGCGGCCGAUCAGCUUGUUGGUGGGGUGAUGGCCUACCAAGGCGACGACGGGUAGCCGGCCUGAGAGGGUGACCGGCCACACUGGGACUGAGAUACGGCCCAGACUCCUACGGGAGGCAGCAGUGGGGAAUAUUGCACAAUGGGCGCAAGCCUGAUGCAGCGACGCCGCGUGAGGGAUGACGGCCUUCGGGUUGUAAACCUCUUUCAGCACCGACGAAGCGCAAGUGACGGUAGGUGCAGAAGAAGGACCGGCCAACUACGUGCCAGCCGCCGCAGUAA